rnacentral:lncRNA from 1 species
AGGACAUGGCACUGAGUCUUCUUGGGGCUUGCAGCUUCUGUCACCCAGGCACAGUAGUGCCCCCCGCAAAGUUGGGAAGCUUGGGUUCUCCCCCAUUCCCUGUUCCCUGGAUGUUAGAAUUCAGUCAAAUCACCGUGUAUCCAAAUUUGUAGACCACAGGAUUUAGACCACCUGGAAAUAAAGAAAGGAGAAACCAGAGAAUGAAGGCCACUCCGAAGAUGACAAGAUCCCAGAAUUCUAGAGCCCAAAGGAGACAUCGUAGGAAUCACGUUGCCCAGGUUGGUUCUGUGGCUUGCCUAGGAAGCACUCUUCAUGGGGACACAGCAUGUAUUUUAGAAAGGUGGCGAAGAAAGACCCUGUGGGAUCAGGUGACCUUUCUUUCUGCCCAUCAUUUUGGCCAUGCUAAUUCUAUCUCUUGCAUAAUAUCCAAUGCCUGGUUUUCACAGUCAAGAUGCCACGUCUCAGGACAGUGGGCUCUGAAGAUGGAGACUGACUUCAAGGACUAAUGUCAUUCCUGUUCCCUGUCAUUGAAGGGUGCACAUGUAUCUCUGCUUUAUGCCCUGGUAGAGGAAAUAUUCUCCAAUAAAGGUAGCAGACUUAUAAAUUAAUUCCUUAUGAUAAAUUCCAAAUGCUCCUCAAAGAAUGAUGUUUUUCUUAUUAAAGUCUUAUGUGAUGUGUACUAUCAGUCAGGAUGUCAUGGGGCUUAUCAAUAUUGUAUCUCUGCAUGAAUCUGAAAGAUAGUGCUUUUAGAGAUCAAGAGAGUCCACAGAAAAUGCAGUAAUGUGGAAUGGCAUAUAGCAAAGUUUGAGAAUUAUUCUAGACACAUAAUUUUUUUUUUCUAACAAGGGCUCACAAUCUACUAAAAAAAAAGGUACUUUUUUUCCUGGAAUUGUUAAUUGACAAACCUUUAUGUAAAAUCAAAGUGAAUAGUCCCAUAGACACCACUUCAUAUUACAGUUCUUUGCUGGGUCAGAACCAGGGCAAGGCAAGAGAGG